AUAUUGUCCAGAGGUACAAGUGGGACCUAAAGGUCAUAAAGUGCGAAAUUGUCAAGCUUACAAACACCAGAUGAGGGAUGGGCAGCAUGAAUGGCAGGAAGCUACAAUAAAUGAUUUUGUACCUCCAGUCUACGUCUAUCACAUUCGAGAUCAGCAACCUGGUAAGCCUUUGGUAAAUGAGUUGAAAAGAUAUUAUGGUAUGUUGCCUGCAGUUGUUGAGCUAUUUUCACAGGCUGGGGCACCAGUUGAAAAGAUUUAUGGACAUACAAUGAGAGAUGUUGUAGUCCCUGACAUGGAUGAGGAAAAGUGGGUUGUUUAGAGCAAUCGGUUGGAUGACUUCCUGUGCACGGAGGAACCAUUUGGGCAUUGGAAGAGUCUAAAUUAACAAAUAAGGUACAAUUGUUUUGAAUUUUAACAAUUGUCUAUGCUGGCAAAGAUAGAGGAUGUCUAUUGUGAGCUCAGGGAUACAAUAGUAUGAGAAUAAGUACAUUUGACAAAGUUAUCAUGUAAUCUGCUGGUAACUAAAGGUUGCAGUCUUGGUAAUGUGGAACACAUUCUUUUGACACCAAUUGGAGGUUAAAAACUCGAACUUCGUGCUUGGAUUCUUUUGAGAACAGGUCUUUAUCCCUCUACCGACCUCAUUGGUCACUUUGUUGGUGUAUGUUUGGUCCACUUUUAGUUGAGGCAAAAUUGAUUCCAGAGGUGUAGAAUUGAUUAGUUUCUAGUCUACUAUGCUUUUAUGCGGUAUUUUUUUUAUUAAUUUUCUGCUACUAAAACCAAAGAAAACACUUGUCUACAGGAUUAGUUUUAGUAUUUUUUGGUUUACAAGAGGCAAAGAGUUAGUUGAUGAUGCAUGAGUCAGAGUGAGGAGGAAAAGACGGCUUUUUUGUCAAGUACCUAUAUUAUUAGUAGAAAAAGCAACUCCUAGAUUUGCUUCAACAGUAAUUAGUUUCUGGAUACAGCUCCAUGAUUUUCAGAAUAGUAUAUCAUCUAUUUUUUUGUAAAUAUUUUCUGCUUAUUUGCUCGAAUAUGUCUUAAUUAUGUUGAGUGAAUGAUUGUGUUACGAACCUAUCAAUGGUUGAUUAUUCAAUGAUAUUGAAAUGGGAUUAUGCUCGUCCAUGAGUUUAUUUGAUGAAAAACAAAGCUACACGGAAGAACGAAUUCCCCCUUCCACUAGAGCUUUCUCUAUAGUUCUGAAACCAAAAUUACAAAUCCUAAUGUAUCUAGCACAAGAUUAAUCCUAUUUACAAGAGAUAGGACUAACUGUUACAAUAACAAUAAAAAAACAGAAACCUAACUGACUUCCAAACAGAAACCUAACUGACUUCCAAACAGAAACUAACUCUAACAAUAUUAACUAUGAACUAAAUUAACUAAUUAUAUUCUUCCCCUUAUUUAUGUGAUAAACCUGUGUUUAUUUUGGUACCUUACAGAUUGAUAUUCAUUCUGUAUCUAAAACCCUGAAUUUCUUCCUUGAGAUGACUGUCACUCUAAUAUCAAACACCAUAUCCAUCAAGAAGAAAACAAUUUGAUUCAGUAUCAGUCUGUUUUAAUUAUUUUGCUUGAUUUGUUGUAAUUCCUACCAUUUUUGUUGGUCAGUUGAUAUAUGCUGUGCUGGUAUGGCAAAGGAUGUUAUUUGUUAGGUUCAGUUUCAGUUACAGAAUCGAACAAAAGAAUUGGCCUGUUGAGUUUGUAUACAUACAAGGCAUUGUCCUUAUAUAGUGUCAGAAUCAGCUAUUCAAUCACUCUCUGCAUAGUCAAUAUCUUUAUUCUUUUGCAUUCACUGAUAUUGGGGCUCUCAAUCUUGGGAGCUUGAACGUUAUCCAUAUUUUUUCUUCAUCAAUCAAUUAAAUAAAUGUUCAUGAGUCAUGACUAUCUUCUCUGUAAUUGUUAAUUGACCCAGUUGGAGUUUGAUAACACGUAAAAUGCAUUACUUUUUUAGCUCGACUUACACAUGUUUUGAUUUUGAUUUUACAGAUUUUUGCAUUGUUAUGUUGGUAUUGUGUGUCUAUUUCAGGCAUUUGUCGAUUAAAAGUCCAUGUGCAUCAAAAUGAAGAAAAACGGUGAAAAAAAAAGAAAGAUUAAAAAAAAGUCAACAAGUCAGAUGGGAAGUCAACACUAGUUAUUGAAUAAUUCCUCCCCACUUUCAGAAGCAGUUACCCUCACUUCCUGCAUUUUCUCCACCACUUGGAACACAAUCAGAAGCGCACUCUGAUGGAUUUUUUGUUAAAUAUAGUGUAUAAGCUAGUUGAACCUAUUUCUAUUGCUGACUCAUAUACAUGAGUGACACGUGCAUUGAGUAUAUAAUGAAUGAAUACAGUGAUGCAAAUUAGAGCUCACUGAAUAUUAUUUUCUGUUAUUCAGAUCUAACAAACUCUUCUCUCUUUAUCAUUGUGAGUGUGUGAGUAUAGUGCAGUGAAGCACUCAAGCUCCAACAUAUGGUAUCCAGAGCAUAAUUGUUGAAGCUUCGAGAGAAAAAGUGAGUGAAAAUCUCAAUUGUGACAAAAUCAGUGAGUGAGCAACAAUGGCGACGAACAAUCAUUUUCCGGCAAACUUUCUGAUCCUCGACGGACGCAAUUACGAUCAGUGGAGCAUGAAGAUGAAGGUGAUUCUCAGUUAUCAGGAUGUGUGGGAUCUGGUGCAGAAUGGCUUAACUCUGUUAUCGGCGGCCGCAACCGUUGCGCAACAAAAUUUGUACAGAGAAUCGAAGAAGAAGGAUUGGAAAGGAUUGUGUAUCCUCCAUCAGUGUGUGACUCCUGCAAUUUUCGAGAAAAUUUCCAGAUCUGAAACGUGCAAAGCAGCGUGGGACAUUCUCGCGAAUUCCUACGUCGGAGAUCAGAGAUUGAAGAAGGUGCGGCUUCAAACCCUACGAAGACAAUACGAAUUACUAGGAAUGGAGGAGAGUGAAUCGAUUGCUGCAUAUUUCACUAGAGUUCAAACUACGACGAAUCAAAUGUUGUAUUGCGGUGAAACGUUGUCUGAUGAAUCGAUCGUGGAGAAGAUCUUGCGAUCGGUGUCUUCGCGAUUCGAUCAUAUUACGGUGGCGAUUGAACAGGCGAAAGAUCUGUCAACGAUGACGAUCGAAGAACUUCAAGGAUCUCUUGAAGCUCAUGAACAUAGAUUGAAUGAGAAGCGAGCGGUGAAGUCUAGCAUCGAGCAAGCACUAGCGGCACAAACAGGCAACAAAUCUGGUGGAUAUCAAAGAGGACGUGGCAGAGGCAGAAACAGUUAUAGAGGAGGCAGAGGAAGAGGUAAUUACAAUAACUCAAACUAUGCUAAAGGCAAUUCUAGUGAAAACAGCAGCAACACUGAACAAGGAACUCAUAGUAAUGAAAAUUAUAGAGGAAGAGGAGGUAGAGGUGGUCGAGGUUUUAGAGGGAGAGGGAGAAAAUUUGAUAAAAGCCACAUACAGUGUUAUAAUUGUGAGAGAUAUGGGCAUUUUGCUGAUGAGUGCUACAACAAUGUUAAUAGUGCUGAUGCUAAACUGGCCGAAGAAGAGGAGGAGAUAGAGGAAUCUCUGUUGAUGGCUAUUGAAGAAAGGGAGAGUAGUGAUGAAAUAGUGCAUAUGGUGACAACUAAGGAGGAAGGUGAGCGUGGUGAGCACUGGUUUCUAGACACAGGCUAUUCAACUCAUAUAACCGGAAGGAAGGACUGGUUUGUUGAACUUGAUUUUUCAAUCAGGAGUAGAAUAAGAUUUGCUGAUGAUAGAACCACCGUGAAGGUGGAAGGUGUGGGGAAGGUGAUGAUAAGAAAGAAGGAUGGCUCGUUGUGCUUCAUUACUGGUGUGCUCUAUGUGCCAGGAAUGAAGAGUAACCUGUUGAGUAUUGGACAACUGUUAGAGAAGGGAUAUAGGAUGGUGCUUGAAGAUAAGGCCAUGAAGGUGUAUGAUACUGAACAGAGGUUACUGGUGAAGGCAACUCUCUCCAAAAACAGGAUAUUCAAAGUUGAGUUGGGAGUGUUGAUGCAGAAGUGUUUAGCUACAACAGUUGAUAAAGAGGAAUGGUUGUGGCCUUUCAGAUAUGGACAUCUGAAUUUUGGUGAUCUAAACAGGAUUCAGAGCAAAGCAAUAGUGACAGGUUUGCCUCAUAUCCAUGUUCCAAAGGAUGUUUGUGCAGAAUGUGUAGAAUGCAAGAUGCCAAGAGGUGCCUUCAAUCCAAAUAUGUCAAGAAGAUCAAAGAGAAAGCUGCAGGUGAUCUUCUCAGAUGUGUGUGGUCCAAUACAACAUGAAACUCCUGCUGGUAACAAGUAUUUUGUUACAUUUAUUGAUGAGUUCACUAGGAAACUUUGGAUUUAUUUGAUUAGGAGGAAGAAUAAUGUGUUGGGAGUAUUCAAAAAAUUCAAAGUCCUAGUUGAAAAACAGUGUGGACAGAAUAUAGAGAUUCUGAGAACUGAUGGUGGUGGAGAGUAUGUUAGCACUGAAUUUAAUGAAUAUUGUGAAAAUGAAGGAAUAACACAUGAGGUUACACCUCCAUAUACUCCUUAGCACAAUGGGGUGGCUGAGAGAAAGAAUAGGACAUUGCUAAACAUGGUGAGAAGUAUGUUGAAAAGUAAGAACAUGCCUAAGACAUGGUGGGGAGAGGCUGUUAAUACUGCUGCAUAUAUUAUAAAUAGGAGUCCAACAAAGAAAAUGGAGAAUGUUACCCCUGAGGAAGCUUGGACUGGUGUCAAGCCAAAUGUAGCACAUUUUAGAGUUUUUGGGUCUGUUUGCUAUAGGCAUGUGCCUGAUCAGCUGAGAACUUAGCUAGAUGAUAAAGGAGAAUUGAUGAUUAUGGUGGGGUAUCAUUCAACUGGUGGUUACAAAUUAGUGAAUCCAGUGAACAAUAAAAUUGUGAUUAGUAGAGAUGUUGUGUUUGAUGAGGGGAAAACAUGGAAAUGGAGUGACAAUACUGAGAGUUCUACUGGUGUAGAACAAAAUCAGUUUGAUGUACCUGCUGGUGAAACAGAAUUAAAUCCUGAGGGUGUACUUGAGGCAGUGGAAGAAAGUGAUGGUGAAGGUGGUGGUCUUGAGAUACCUAGAAGAUCACUAAGACAAAAAUAGGUCCCUGCAAGGUUAAAUGAUUGUGAGAUAAUGUCUGAUGGUGCAAUCAAUGAUGAAGGUGACAUAGUGCACUUUGCACUUCUUGCUGAAACAGAACCGGUAACUUUGGAGGAAGCAAUGAAGAAUUCUAAGUGGCUAGAAGCUAUGAAAGAGGAAAUCAGAUCAAUAGAAAAAAAUUUGACUUGGGAAUUAGUUGAAUUACCCAAAGGAAAGAAAGGAGUAGGUGUGAAAUGGGUGUACAAAGUGAAGGUCAAUCUUAAAGGUGAAGUGGUGAAGUACAAAGCACGGUUGGUGGCCAGAGGAUUCCUCCAAAGAAAUGGUGUUGACUAUGAAGAAGUAUUUGCACCCGUUGCAAGACUUGAAACUGUGAAAGUUGUGGUAGUUCAUGCUAGUAUGCAAGGGUGGAAAAUACAUCAACUUGAUGUAAAAUCCGCUUUUCUGAAUGGAGAAUUGGAAGAGGAAGUAUAUGUUGAACAACCAUCAGGUUUUGUGAAACAAGGAAGUGAGAACAAAGUCUUAAAAUUGAGAAAAGCCUUAUAUGGCUUGAAACAAGCUCCACGAGCUUGGAACAAGAAAAUAGAUAAAAGCUUGAUCAACAUGGGGUAUGUGAGAUGUAUCUCUGAGCAUGGUGUGUAUGUGAACUCAGGGGGUGGUGAUGUGGUAAUGUUGUGUCUCUAUGUUGAUGACUUACUGGUUACUGGAAAUAAUACAGUAAAAGUAAUUGAGUUUAAGAAGAAAAUGAUGAAUGUCUUUGAAAUGACAGACCUAGGGGAGAUUUCUUACUUUCUAGGAAUUGAAUUUCAAAGUACUAAAGAUGGUGUGCUACUGUCACAGAAGAAGUAUGCUUCAGAUAUACUAAAAAGAUUCAACUUGCAACACUGUAAUGGUGAUGAAACACCAGCAGAAGCAAGAUUAUGGCUUGAUAAAGAUGUUGAUGAGCCAGAGGUUGAGGCUACAGAAUUUAGACAGAUAGUUGGGGCACUGAGAUAUCUUUGUAACACUAGACCUGACAUUGCUUUCAUUGUAGGCUUGAUUAGCAGAGUUAUGGACAGGCCUACAACAUCUCACCUAGCUGCUGCAAAACGAAUUCUAAGAUAUUUCAAAGGCACAAUGACAUGGAAUUCUGUUACCUAGUAAAUGCAAGGAAAAUGUGAAAGGUCUUUAUGGAUUUACUGAUGUUGAUUGGGGAGGUGACAAAACUGACAGAAAGAGCACUGUUGGCUCUGUAUUUUUGCUUGGAAUAGGUCCUAUUUCAUGGAGUUCAAAGAAGGAAUCUGAUGUGGCAUUGUCCUCAUGUGAAGCUGAGUAUAUUGCAGCAUCAAUGGGAGCCUGUCAGACAAUCUGGUUAGAUAAUUUGAUGCAGGAGCUGAUGAUCAAAAAGGAAGGUGUUGUGGAGCUAUUUGUGGACAACAAAUCUGCAAUUAGCUUGGCCAAACACCCAGUUGCACAUGGUAGAUCCAAACACAUAGAUUCUCGUUAUCAUUUCUUGAGAGAUCAAGUCACUAAAGGAAGGCUGAAGCUGAGUUACUGCAGGACUGAUAUGCAGCUAGCAGAUAUUUUCACCAAGGCAUUGAAGUCAGAAACUUUCAAGAAACUGAGGAAUUUGCUGAAUGUUGUUAAUUGUAAUGAACUAGUUUAGAUGAAUGCUCUUUUGCUGUUAUUUGCUUUAUGUUAGAAACUAGCUUAAGGGGGUGUGUUAAAUAUAGUGUAUAAGCUAGUUGAACCUAUUUCUAUUGCUGACUCAUAUACAUGAGUGACACGUGUAUUGCGUAUAUAAUGAAUGAA
rnacentral:lncRNA from 1 species